rfam:Musa acuminata subsp. malaccensis Doubled-haploid Pahang (DH-Pahang) genomic chromosome, chr3
CGUUAAUGAUAGGCCUGGAGGCUGAAGAACUCAGAAAUGUUGUGUUGCCAUCAGCUUCAUCUCCUGUCCUAUGAGUUUGGAGUUAAAUAACAACACAAAAUUU